rnacentral:rRNA from 1 species
UACGUAGGAUGCAAGCGUUGUCCGGAAUUACUGGGCGUAAAGAGCGCGCAGGCGGCGCUUUAAGUUAGGCGUGAAAUCUCCCGGCUUAACUGGGAUAGGUCGUCUAAGACUGGAGUGCUUGAGGGCAGAAGAGGAAAGUGGAAUUCCCGGUGUAGUGGUGAAAUGCGUAGAUAUCGGGAGGAACACCAGUGGCGAAGGCGGCUUUCUGGUCUGCCCCUGACGCUGAGGCGCGAAGGCUGGGGGAG